GACGAACGCUGGCGGCGUGCUUAACACAUGCAAGUCGAACGGAAAGGCCCUGCUUUUGUGGGGUGCUCGAGUGGCGAACGGGUGAGUAACACGUGAGUAACCUGCCCUUGACUUUGGGAUAACUUCAGGAAACUGAGGCUAAUACCGGAUAGGAGCUCCUGCUGCAUGGUGGGGGUUGGAAAGUUUCGGCGGUUGGGGAUGGACUCGCGGCUUAUCAGCUUGUUGGUGGGGUAGUGGCUCACCAAGGCUUUGACGGGUAGCCGGCCUGAGAGGGUGACCGGCCACAUUGGGACUGAGAUACGGCCCAGACUCCUACGGGAGGCAGCAGUGGGGAAUAUUGCACAAUGGGCGGAAGCCUGAUGCAGCAACGCCGCGUGCGGGAUGACGGCCUUCGGGUUGUAAACCGCUUUCGCCUGUGACGAAGCGUGAGUGACGGUAAUGGGUAAAGAAGCACCGGCUAACUACGUG
rnacentral:rRNA from 1 species